rnacentral:rRNA from 1 species
CCUACGGGAGGCAGCAGUGAGGAAUAUUGGUCAAUGGGCGUAAGCCUGAACCAGCCAAGUCGCGUGAGGGAUGAAGGUUCUAUGGAUCGUAAACCUCUUUUAUAAGGGAAUAAAGUUCGGGACUUGUCCCUUUUUGUAUGUACCUUAUGAAUAAGGAUCGGCUAACUCCGUGCCAGCAGCCGCGGUAAUACGGAGGAUCCGAGCGUUAUCCGGAUUUAUUGGGUUUAAAGGGUGCGUAGGCGGCCUUUUAAGUCAGCGGUGAAAGUCUGUGGCUCAACCAUAGAAUUGUCGUGGAAAAUGGGGGGCUUGAGUAUGUUUGAGGAAGGCGGAAUGAGUGGUGUAGCGGUGAAAUGCUUAGAUAUCACGCAGAACCCCGAUUGAGAAGGCAGCCUGCCAAGCCAUGACUGACGCUGAGGCACGAAAGCGUGGGGAUCAAACAGGAUUAGAUACCCCAGUAGUC